rnacentral:rRNA from 1 species
CACGUAGGGCGCGAGCGUUGUCCGGAAUUAUUGGGCGUAAAGAGCUCGUAGGCGGUCUGUCGCGUCUGCUGUGAAAUCCCGAGGCUCAACCUCGGGCUUGCAGUGGGUACGGGCAGGCUAGAGUGCGGUAGGGGAGAAUGGAACUCCUGGUGUAGCGGUGGAAUGCGCAGAUAUCAGGAAGAACACCGAUGGCGAAGGCAGUUCUCUGGGCCGUAACUGACGCUGAGGAGCGAAAGCGUGGGGAGCGAACAGG